UACGUAGGGUGCAAGCGUUUGUCCGGAAUUAUUGGGCGUAAAGAGCUCGUAGGCGGCUUGUCGCGUCGGCUGUGAAAACCUGGGGCUCAACCCCGGGCCUGCAGCCGGUACGGGCAAGCUAGAAUUCGGUAGGGGAGACUGGAAUUCCUGGUGUAGCGGUGAAAUGCGCAGAUAUCAGGAGGAACACCGAUGGCGAAGGCAGGUCUCUGGGCUGUAACUGACGCUGAGGAGCGAAAGCGUGGGGAGCGAACAGG
rnacentral:rRNA from 1 species